rnacentral:rRNA from 1 species
UCGAACCCGGAGAUAGCUGGUUCUCCUCGAAAUAGCUUUAGGGCUAGCCUCAUAGAUGAUUCGUGGAGGUAGAGCACUGAAUGUGCGCGGGGGCGAGAGUCUACCAAACACUAUCAAACUGCGAAUGCCAUAGAAUUGGACUAUGGGAGUCAGUCCGCGAGAGAUAAGUUCCGCGGGCAAAAGGGGAACACCCCAGAUCAACCGCUAAGGUCCCCAAGUACACGUUAAGUGGAGAAGGAUGUGGAAUUGCACAGACAACCAGGAUGUUGGCUCAGAAGCAGCCAUUCAUUGAAAGAGUGCGUAAUAGCUCACUGGUCGAGUGACUCUGCGCCGAAAAUGUCCGGGGCUGAAACGUGACACCGAAGCGAUGGAUUUGCGCUUAGGCGCAAGUGGUAGAGGAGCAAUGUGUACAGGCUGAAGCAUGAUCGAAAGGACGUGUGGACAGUACACAAGAGAGAAUGCCGGUAUGAGUAGCGAGAGCCAUGCGAGAAACAUGGCCGUCGAAAGCCCAAGGUUUCCUGGGGAAGGUUCAUCCACCCAGGGUAAGUCGGGACCUAAGCCAAGGACAGAAGUCGUAGGCGAUGGACAGCAGGUUCAUAUUCCUGCACUGCCGGGGAAUGAAGCAGUGACACAGAAGGAUAGCCUGAGCAGGGUGAUGGUCAACCCUGUCCAAGCAGUAAGGCCGGGAUUUAGUGAAGUACGAAUCCCGUGAAGGCUGAGCUGUGAAGGGGAGCGAAAUGAAGUAGCGAAGCAGGUGAGUUCACGCUGGCGAGAAAAGCUGCUAGUAUAUCCGAAGGUACCCGUACCGGAAACCGACGCAGGUGGGCGAGGAGAGAAUCCUGAGACGAACGGGAGAACCCUUGUUAAGGAACUCGGCAAAAUGACCCCGUAACUUCGGGAGAAGGGGUGCCACGAGAGUGGCCGCAGAGAAUAGUCACAAGCGACUGUUUAGCAAAAACACAGGUAUCUGCGAAAGCGAGAGCUGACGUAUAGGUGCUGACACCUGCCCGGUGCUGGAAGGUAAAGGGGAAAUGUCAUCGCAAGAGAAGCAUAGAACCGAAGCCCCAGUAAACGGCGGCCGUAACUAUAACGGUCCUAAGGUAGCGAAAUUCCUUGUCGGGUAAGUUCCGACCCGCACGAAUGGUGUAACGAUUUGAGCGCUGUCUCAACAGGGGGCCCGGUGAAAUUGAAGUAUGGGUGAAGAUGCCCAUUACCCGCGACUGGACGGAAAGACCCCGUAGAGCUUUACUGUAGCCUGAUAUUGGAUUUCGGUAACUGAUGCACAGGAUAGGUGGGAGGCUUAGAAACCCGGCUUUCGGGACGGGCGGAGCCGCCGUUGGGAUACCACUCUUCGGUUAUUGGAAUUCUAACAUGGACCCGUGAAACCGGGUAAUGGACAGUGUCAGGUGGACAGUUUGACUGGGGCGGUCGCCUCCGAAAGAGUAACGGAGGCGCCCAAAGGUACCCUCAGAAUGGAUGGAAAUCAUUCGAAGAGUGCAAAGGCAGAAGGGUGCCUGACUGCGAGAGUGACAAUUCGAGCAGAGACGAAAGUCGGGCUUAGUGAUCCGGCGGUAUUGAGUGGAAAAGCCGUCGCUUAACGGAUAAAAGCUACCUCGGGGAUAACAGGCUGAUCUCCCCCAAGAGUCCACAUCGACGGGGAGGUUUGGCACCUCGAUGUCGGCUCGUCGCAUCCUGGGGCUGAAGCAGGUCCCAAGGGUUUGGCUGUUCGCCAAUUAAAGCGGCACGCGAGCUGGGUUCAGAACGUCGUGAGACAGUUCGGUCCCUAUCCAUCGUGGGCGUAGGAGUCAUGAGAGGAGCUGUUCCUAGUACGAGAGGACCGGAAUGGACGCAUCACUGGUGCAACUGUUGUCGUGCCAACGGCACAGCAGGGAAGCGAAAUGCGGAUGGGAUAAACGCUGAAGGCAUCUAAGCGUGAAGCCCACCUCAAGAAUAAGACUCCCAUCCGAAAGGAGU